GGAGGGGGGGAGGGGGGGGAAUUUCAGUUUAGGUUCAUUUUUUGCAGAGAUUAAAAGCUAGUUAAAAAUGAACAAAAUAGGGAAAUUUCUUAUAAACUAAAAGACAUGUUUCAUAUUGUUUUGCAUUUUAUACAUAACACAACUUAAUUGAAAGAGCUUUUCUUGAGUCCAUUCCUAAGAGAAUAUAUACUAUUUCCUACUCAAUAUUUCUUACUCAGAACUGUCAACAUUUGGGAUACUUGGAUUAUUUUUUAUAAAUCAUGACCUCUCUAUACAUUAAUUAUCUUCACUUAAACCUGCAUUCUAAAUCUCUUAAUUACAUUUCUUGCCUUUUGCAGGUGGAUAUUAUCGUCCUGAUGGGAAAAAAAGCCUUGUCUCGCGUGUUUCAGUAUCUCAUUGAUUUAAAGAAAGUAAAAAUUAGUGUCUCACUGUUUUGAGAGAGCUUUGGCUCUUUGAAACAUUUAGAUCCCCUGAAGAAUGGAAAAAUGGGCUGGAGAAUGAUUAUUAAGAGAAGGUUGUAUGACUGGUUAUUCAAAGAAAGAAAAGGACUUUACCGUUCUGAAUACAUGCCACCACUAUUCAUGGGUGGGAAAGACUUGGUAGGAGUUUUUUAUCCAGGUACUUCUAGUUGAGUAACAGCAUGCACGUUUUUCAUGUUACUUUAAAAAAAAAACAAAAACACAUUUGAAUGAUAAGAAAAUAAUCAUUGUUAGUACAAAUAAACUAUUACAAGCAUUUGAUUUCAUUUACAAUAAAUGACUACUUCAAAAGUUGUAUUUUUUAAAAAGCUCUUCUGCCAAUUAAGUGGCUUACACAUUGGUUAAAUUUGCCCAAUGCACAAUUAGAGACUAAAACAUUUGGGAGAGGUAGCAUGGAUCUGGAGUCAGAAGUCAAGAGUUUUAAAUCUCUUCUAGUAUUUAACUGUCCUGGGACAAGCCAUAUAAACUAUAAAAUCCCAGUUUCUGUAACACAGAAGUUCUACGAAAAUUACUUCAUGCGAGAAUCAACAUGUAUAGCAUCUCUACCAAGUGACAGCAUUAAUUUAAAUAUGUCCAGGAAUGGGAAGAUAAUUAUAAUUCAAAGCAAUUUAUUGAGACAUUUUUUGUUGUUAGGAAGUUCUUACAUUGACCAGAAAUAAAACUUGUUUCCUUGUAAUUUCAUGCUUUUAUAAUACUCAUUACUUAUUUUUACAUUGAAUGAAACUAACUUGCUUUACAGAAAAGAAUUUUCGAAAGCAGCUAAAUGGUCCGAUGAAUAGUGUUAGAUUUAGAGUCCCCAAAAACUUGAGCUCAAAUUUGGCUUCAAUAUUUACUGGUUGUGUUACACCAAGCAAUCACUUAACCUGUUUGCUUUGGUUUCCUCAUCUAUAAAGUGGGGGUAAUAAUAGCAUCUAUCGCCAAAAGUAGUUGUAAGGAUCAAAUGGAAUAAUUGUAAAGUCACUAGCACAUGUUACUUGUUAUAAUACAUCUUCCAUAUCAUUUUUUCCUAUACAGUUCUUUUCCCCUUAUCUUUUAUUACUAGUUACUUUUUACCUUGUUUUGAAUUUUAAUAAAUGAGGAAGAAAGUAGAGCCAGGAGAGGUGAAAUGACUUGGCCAGAGACUGACUAUAGCUUCAGAAUGAGAUUCUCUGACUCCAAAUCCAGUGUCUUUUUCUGCUUCUUAUUCCUGGAUGUAUUUCAGUUUGUCAGUGUCUGCUUAAAAUGUGCCAAGGGCAGGAUAUAAGCCAGUAAAUAGCUACAUAACAAUUGAAUUGAAAAUUGGAAACAAUUCUGGCUUUUAAUAUUGUACAUAGGAGAAAAUUGUCUUUUUAAUUUUAUAUUGCAGUGUGUAAUGCUUGGUCAUUAGCAUCACCAGAACAUCAGAGAUUCUCAAGAAAAAUAGGUAAUAGUCAUUUAGCUAAUUGCAGAGACAGAAUGCCUAAAGUAACAUAUUCAAUGAGUGACAGCUUAAAUUUAAACAGAGAUUCUCUAAUCCUAUAUCCAGUAUUCUUCCUACUCUUUAUCACACUGUCUUUAUUCAAUAGGCAUUUGAUUAACAAUCUAACAUUCACUUGAAUUAGAGAUAAAAUAUGGAAAGACAAAUCAGUUCUUUAUAAACUUAGGACAUUAAGCUAGAUAAUCUCAAAGUGAAGCCUUCCAGAUCUAAAGUUCUUUGAUUAUUUAAAAAGCUAACUUUGUAUAACCUUAAGGUCACAAUUGAUAGAUUUCUUUUUUUACUAACAUUUUGUGCUUUAACUGAAAUUAAGCAAAUUCAAAGGAUAUUUUGUAUCAGAAUUUUUAAUUGAUAAUUUUCUUACAUUUUCAGUAGCAUUGGUGAUAGUUUAUACAACUUAAAGAAUAAAGUCAGUUUUAUUGAAAGGAAGACAAGUUUUCAUAUCCCAAAAGAAACAUGAAAUGUGUUAUUUAUUAGCUAAUUAUAUUUUAAAUAUAUAGUACACAAUUCAAUCUGUAUGGCAGCAUUAGUUUUUUGGGGGAAUAGACUUAAUUAUAUUCUACUACUAGCUGAAUAAAGAGGUACACACUACCUUGUCAUUUGAGAAUGAAUUCCUCUGCUAUGGUAACCCAGGAAAUUAAAAAAAAAAAAAAGUCACUCAGUCCCCCUACUCUUCCUCUACCGAUAAUGGUAUUGUCUGAACAAAGAACAGAAGGCGCUAAAAAAGAAUUUUUUUUUUUUGAGAGCCUCUAUAAACUAAUGUAGCUCCUGGUAUUCUUAAGGUCAUAUCUUGGUCCAGUUACCAAUAGAUAAUCUUCCACUGACAGAAAUUAUUCAUGUCAAUCUUGAUAUUCCUACUAUAAUUUAAACCAGAAGAAGGAAGUUGAUGCUAAAUGGAAGAAUUCAGCAGGUUCUCAAUGAAGAAGGAAAUGAAGGAAUUAUUGGUAGCAUUAGUUAUAUUAUAAGGUAAGAAGAAGCAAUUCAUAGAAUAUUUAGUCCUCUGGCACUGUAGUGCUUAUGAUAAGUAUUUGUAAAAAGUCUCCCAAUGCAAUACUGGUAUGUAUACCAGUAUUCUUUUGAAGAUAAAAUAGAGAAAUAAUGGAAGUUCAUUACUGACAAGCAAAAGUGAGAAAAGAGGAUUAAGAAAGCAAUUAGUGAUUAAAAAAAAAAAAAUGAGAAUAAG